GGAAUCUUCCGCAAUGGGCGAAAGCCUGACGGAGCAACGCCGCGUGAGUGAAGAAGGCCUUCGGGCCGUAAAGCUCUGUUGCCGGGGAAGAGUGGUCUAAGGGGACUUAGACAGGGACGGUACCCGGCGAGGAAGCCGCGGCUAACUACGUGCCAGCAGCCGCGGUAAUACGUAGGCGGCAAGCGUUGUCCGGAAUCAUUGGGCGUAAAGGGGGCGCAGGCGGGAACAUAAGUCUUUCCUGAAAGUUCGGGGCUCAGCCCCGUGAUGGGAAGGAAACUGUGUUUCUUGAGCGCGGGAGAGGGAAGCGGAAUUCCUGGUGUAGCGGUGAAAUGCGUAGAUAUCAGGAAGAACACCAGUGGCGAAGGCGGCUUCCUGGACCGCGGCUGACGCUGAGGCCCGAAAGCCAGGGGAGCGAACG
rnacentral:rRNA from 1 species